AAGUUCAAAGUCCGGGAAAGAGACCCUGAGAGGAAUGGGAACAGGGGCACAGGCAGGGCUCUGUGGCGUCAGAGCUGAGAAGGGGACACUGAGGAAGGAAAUUGGAAUCAUUGCUUGCUGGAAGUUUACC